UACGAAGGGGACUAGCGUUGUCCGGAAUCAUUGGGCGUAAAGCGCGUGUAGGCGGCCCGGUAAGUCCGCUGUGAAAGUCCAGGGCUCAACCCUGGGAUGCCGGUGGAUACUGUCGGGCUCGAGUCCGGAAGAGGCGAGUGGAAUUCCUGGUGUAGCGGUGAAAUGCGCAGAUAUCAGGAGGAACACCAAUGGCGAAGGCAGCUCGCUGGGACGUGACUGACGCUGAGACGCGAAAGCGUGGGGAGCAAACAGG
rnacentral:rRNA from 1 species